AUGCCAUAUUAGACCUAAUGCUCUGAUUUCAGAUAAGAAAAGAACAUAACAACCAGAAAAUNCGUGGAAAUGCAAAACCCCAGCCACUUUUUGUAAAUUCUUGACCUACAAUCCUGAAUGUGCAUUGGGUUGAUAGGAAGAUGUCAACGUAAGGAAGUUCGUCAACAACUGCAGCAACACCCCCAUCCUUUGUAGGACCAAGUUGGAGUGCUCUAGCAUAUGCUUCAGGUGAUCCUAGGGGAACAAGCCUAGAUUUAGAUAUUCCAAGUUCCUGACUCAAAUAAUAUUCAGCAAAAGAACCCACUUGGUAUCCUAUGGGUUCAUCACUUUCCUUUAAGCUUUCAAUCCCAUUGAUAGGAGAAAAUAAUUGCUGCACUGUGAGAAUUGAUGUCAGACUCGCAGUAUAGCUUGAGUUGAUUAUUAAAACCACAAAGAGCCAUAUGAUUAGCACAAAACGACCCAGGGUGCUCACAGUGUUUUCUCUAUGGGCAAAAAAUAAGGUUGAGAGGCUGAACCAUAAAAUAGUUAUAACUUGUCUUUUAGGUGGGCCUCUGAAUUCAUCAUUUAUCCUAUGCUCCAGAAUCCAGAC
rnacentral:misc_RNA from 1 species